GACAGAGGUGGCGACCGUUGUUCGGAAUUACUGGGCAUAAAGGGUGCGUAGGCGGUUUGACGCGUCUUGGGUGAAAUCCUCCGGCCCAACCGGGGGUCUGCCUGAGAUACGGUCUGACUGGAGUGCGUGAGGGGUGACUGGAACGCGUGGUGUAGCGGUGAAAUGCGUAGAUAUCACGCGGAAGGCCAACGGCGAAGGCAGGUCACUGGCACGCAACUGACGCUGAGGCACGAAAGCGUGGGGAGCAAACAGGAUUAGAAA
rnacentral:rRNA from 1 species